UGCUGCCUGCAGUAUCCCCUGCAGGACUCUGUGGGGGAGGCACCGCUCUGUGAUGUUCAUUGUGCUGUUCCUUUGAGUCCUCCUCUGUUUGUUCCUUAACCACAGAACCAAAGUAUUGCCAUCUGACAAGCAACAAGAGCAUGUAAGAGCAGCAAAGUGAUUUUAUAAAUCUCAUGGCUAGUGAGGCAGCAGCCAGAAGCCUGACAAAGAGCCAUUGGGGUUGACAAACGCUGAUAGGUUAAGCCAUGAUAACAGUGUCAACGGGAAGGCAAACUCAGCUAACAGACGCUUGCCCUUGAUAACCUGCACCAACUCCACAGUAAGAGUCUACCCAAACCCUUCAGCUUCAUGGCCUACAAUGAACCAAAAACAGAUUAUCCAAGAUGACUGCAUCACUUUGGGAAUAAGAUUAGUUGGGCCCUGAUUCAAGAAAGCAUCCCUAGUCAAGAGAGCACCAAUACAUGUGCUUAAUUUGGACUUUGGUUAGCUGCUGCCUGCAAAGUGAGCAGGAAGAGCUCACCCAUAGUGUGCAUUAUUUUAAAAUGGUACCGUGUGUGUGUGUGUGGUUGUGGGGUUUUUUGUUUUUUGGGUUUUUUGGUGGGGUAAGGGACUAAUAAUAUUAUUUCUUGUCACCAAAAUUGUGGAAUAUUUGAAUCUGGAAAAGAUUUUUCUCUAGAAAAUCAUUUUUAAGUAGGUCAUAUUUCACCCUGGGUCAUAUUUGACCCUACUGAUAGUAUCCCUUUAACUAAAUGCAUUCUUAAAAGUAAUUGGUUCAUUCAGAUUCUGAGUGAGCAGAAAUAAUAUUCCCAGUGUAUUUAGGAUAGCAACAAAAACAAGUGACCAUAUCCUAAAGAAUAUUCAGUCAGAAUUGUUGUAGUUCAGCCUAGCUUGCUGCAGUGGAACAUUUCCAAUGAUUAAUUACAUUACCUUUGCCUACCGGUGUCUCAGGAUGUAUCUCUGACAAUUUAUACUUCAGUGCACAACAGUAAGAGGUAAACUGGACAGGCUGUACUACUUCAACUGUAGAGACACCAUACAGGACA